rnacentral:lncRNA from 1 species
UGGUUUUUGAGUUAUAAACCAAAAACUGCAUUUUACCCCAAUGUUCUAGUUUUAGCCAUGGUGGCCAUCUUGGUUGGUUGGCCGAGUUACCGGACACAUUUUUUAAACUAGAUACCCCAAUGAUGAUUAUGGCCAAGUUUGGUUUAAUCGGCCCAGUAGUUUCAGAGGAGAAGAUUUUUCUAUAAGAUUAUUACGAUUUACGAAAAAUGGUUAAAAAUUGACUAUAAAGGGCAAUAACUUCUAAAGGGGUCAACUGACCAUUUUGGUCAUCUUGACUUAUUUGUAAAUCUUACUUUGCUGAACAUUAUUGCUGUUUAGAGUUUAUCUCUAUCUAUAAUAAUAUUCAAGAUAAUAACCAAAAACAGCAAAAUUUCCUUAAAAUUACCAAUUCAGGGGCAGCAACCUAACAACGGGUUGUCCGAUUCAUCUGAAAAUU